rnacentral:rRNA from 1 species
GGACUACUGGGGUUUCUAAUCCCGUUUGCUCCCCUGGCUUUCGUGCCUGAGCGUCAGGAACUGUCCAGAGACCCGCCUUCGCCACCGGUGUUCUGGUCGAUCUCUACGCAUUUCACCGCUACACCGACCAUUCCAGUCUCCUCUCCAGUCCUCUAGCCUGCCAGUUUCCAGUGACCUAUCACAGUUAGGCUGUGAGAUUUCACACCGGACUUAACAGACCGCCUGCGCACCCUUUACGCCCAAUGAAUCCGAACAACGCUUGCAGUCUCUGUAUUACCGCGGCUGCUGGCAC